rnacentral:rRNA from 1 species
UACGUAGGUGGCGAGCGUUGUCCGGAUUUACUGGGCGUAAAGAGCGCGCAGGCGGCUGGUCAAGUCCGAUGUGAAAGCUCCCGGCUUAACUGGGAAAUUGCAUCGGAAACUGAUCGGCUGGAAGGUGGGAGAGGGUAGCGGAAUUCCCGGUGUAGUGGUGAAAUGCGUAGAUAUCGGGAGGAACACCAGUGGCGAAGGCAGCACUCUGGGACGUGACUGACGCUGAGGCGCGAAAGCGUGGGGAGCAAACAGG